GACGAACGCUGGCGGCGUGCUUAACACAUGCAAGUCGAACGGUGAUGCUCCAGCUUGCUGGAGUGGAUCAGUGGCGAACGGGUGAGUAACACGUGAGCAACCUGCCCCAGACUCUGGAAUAAGCGCUGGAAACGGCGUCUAAUACUGGAUACGAAACUGGCCCGCAUGGGCAUGGUUUGGAAAGUUUUUCGGUUUGGGAUGGGCUCGCGGCCUAUCAGCUUGUUGGUGAGGUAAUGGCUCACCAAGGCGACGACGGGUAGCCGGCCUGAGAGGGCGACCGGCCACACUGGGACUGAGACACGGCCCAGACUGCUACGGGAGGCAGCAGUGGGGAAUAUUGCACAAUGGGCGAAAGCCUGAUGCAGCGACGCCGCGUGAGGGAUGACGGCCUUCGGGUUGUAAACCUCUUUCAGCAGGGAAGAAGCGAAAGUGACGGUACCUGCAGAAGAAGCACCGGCUAACUACGUG
rnacentral:rRNA from 1 species